UACGUAGGGCGCGAGCGUUGUCCGGAAUCAUUGGGCGUAAAGCGCGCGUAGGCGGCCCGGUAAGUCCGUUGUGAAAGUCCAAGGCUCAACCUUUGAACGCCGAUGGAUACUGCCGGGCUAGAGUCCGGAAGAGGCGAGUGGAAUUCCUGGUGUAGCGGUGGAAUGCGCAGAUAUCAGGAGGAACACCGAUUGCGAAGGCAGCUCGCUGGGACGUUACUGACGCUGAGACGCGAAAGCGUGGGGAGCAAACAGG
rnacentral:rRNA from 1 species